CGGCGUGGAUAUUACACAUGGGAAUGGAAUACAGGAAAUAAAACUGUUCCCAAUAAACAAUGGGAAUGUGUCUCAAUAUCAAGUCGAGGAUAAUGACCAGUAGAUCCGCCACGACCAUGGCCCCCAGCUCCACCCAAACUGAUUCAGUGGAAACUGAGCGACAUGGCCUGUGGCGUUAUUCGUGAUGGACUUGGACAAGACAUUCGGCCAACUAGGGAUGGACAAUAAAUUCUGACCCAGCCAGCGACGCCCACCUCCCACUAAUGAAUAAAAAAAGAGAACGAUGUAAUUCAGUACAUUGACUAUAUGACACAGGACAGGAAGAGGCCAUUCAAACAGCCUAAGCUGCUGCACAGGAACAGGGAAGCUGUCGCUAACAGGAAACAGAGAGUAGAGUUAAAUGUUUAUUUUCAGUUUGCAAAGCUGUAAAUAGUGGAGUACUGCAGAGAUCAACGAGGGGUAAUCAAUAAUCAGUAAGCUGUAUCACAGACUUGGAUGAAGGGGAUUGAAUAGAUCAAAGCUCAAUUGGCUCUUACACCGAGAUGGUCAUUCAAUAAGUCGUCAAAUGGAGGUAUUGAGCUUGCAAUGUGAUAUAGACUGGGGAGGUUAGUGAGCAAACCUUCAGCAGAAAUAACAUAACGUCAGUUGUCUAUUUUGGCAGGAAGGAUAAAACAACAGUAAACAAUUUAAAUGGAGAGAAAAUGUCAGAACUCUGUGAUGCAGACUGUUUUUGUGUUCCUGGUACGUAAAUCCGUAGAUGCAGCAAGUGAUUUGGAAGAUAAACGGAA